rnacentral:rRNA from 1 species
GAACGCUGGCGGCAUGCCUUACACAUGCAAGUCGAACGGCAGCGCGGGGCAACCUGGCGGCGAGUGGCGAACGGGUGAGUAAUAUAUCGGAACGUGCCCUGGAGUGGGGGAUAACGCAGCGAAAGUUGCGCUAAUACCGCAUACGAUCUAAGGAUGAAAGCGGGGGAUUCGCAAGAACCUCGUGCUCCUGGAGCGGCCGAUAUCUGAUUAGCUAGUUGGUGGGGUAAAGGCCUACCAAGGCAUCGAUCAGUAGCUGGUCUGAGAGGACGACCAGCCACACUGGAACUGAGACACGGUCCAGACUCCUACGGGAGGCAGCAGUGGGGAAUUUUGGACAAUGGGCGAAAGCCUGAUCCAGCAAUGCCGCGUGAGUGAAGAAGGCCUUCGGGUUGUAAAGCUCUUUUGUCAGGGAAGAAACGGUAUGGGCUAAUAUCCCGUACUAAUGACGGUACCUGAAGAAUAAGCACCGGCUAACUACGUGCCAGCAGCCGCGGUAAUACGUAGGGUGCAAGCGUUAAUCGGAAUUACUGGGCGUAAAGCGUGCGCAGGCGGUUUUGUAAGUUUGUCGUGAAAGCCCCGGGCUCAACCUGGGAAUUGCGAUGAAGACUGCAAGGCUUGAAUCUGGCAGAGGGGGGUAGAAUUCCACGUGUAGCAGUGAAAUGCGUAGAGAUGUGGAGGAACACCGAUGGCGAAGGCAGCCCCCUGGGUCAAGAUUGACGCUCAUGCACGAAAG